rnacentral:rRNA from 1 species
AGCGUAGGCGGGUGUUUAAGUUAGGUGUUUAAUCCCGGGGCCCAACCCCGGUCGUGCACCUAAAACUGGACAUUUUGAAUAGUGGAGAGGUCAGUGGAAUUGGGGGUGUAGCGGUGGAAUGCGUAGAGAUCCCCAAGAACACCAGUUGCGAAGGCGGCUGACUGGACACAUAUUGACGCUGAGGCUCGAAAGCAUGGGGAGCAAACA